UACGUAGGCAGCGAGCGUUUGUUCGGAGUUACUGGGCGUAAAGGGUGUGUAGGCGGUUCUUUUAAGUUUGGUGUGAAAUCUCCCGGCUCAACCGGGAGGGUGCGCCGAAUACUGAGGGACUAGAGUGCGGGAGAGGAAAGUGGAAUUCCUGGUGUAGCGGUGAAAUGCGUAGAUAUCAGGAGGAACACCGGUGGUGUAGACGGCUUUCUGGACCGUAACUGACGCUGAGACACGAAAGCGUGGGUAGCAAACAGG
rnacentral:rRNA from 1 species